rnacentral:rRNA from 1 species
UGGGCUUGACAUCCCGAGAAUCUCUUAGAAAUAAGAGAGUGCUAGUUUACUAGAGCUCGGUGAC